rnacentral:tRNA from 1 species
AAAGCUUUAAGUUAAUUAUUAAACUAUUAACCUUCAAAGUUAAAAAUAAGAUCAAAACUUAAGCUUUA